GCCUUCGUGGUGCAGUGGUCAGCACGCUCGGCGGGUAUUCGAGAGGUCCAUGGUUCGAGUCCCAAUGAGGGCA
rfam:Stegodyphus mimosarum contig8249, whole genome shotgun sequence.